rnacentral:rRNA from 1 species
GGAUUCGCUAGUAAUCGCGCAUCAGCCACGGCGCGGUGAAUACGUUCCCGGGCCUUGUACACACCGCCCGUCAAGCCAUGGAAGCCGGGAGUGCCUGAAGUGCGUGACCGCAAGGAGCGUCCUAAGGCAAUACCGGUGACUGGGGCUAAGUCGUAACAAGGUAUC